AUUUAAUGUAUCUGGAAAUUUGUCCAUUUUGCUUAGAUUGUCCAGUUUCUUGCCAUAUAGUUGUUCAUAUUAAUUUCUUAUAAUCCUUUCUAUUGCUGUGGUAUCAGUUGUUACUUCUCUUUCACUUCUGAUUUUAUUUAUUUGAUCCUCUCUUUUUUUUCUUGAUGAGUCUUG